rnacentral:rRNA from 1 species
UACGUAGGGUGCGAGCGUUGUCCGGAAUUAUUGGGCGUAAAGAGCUUGUAGGCGGUUUGUCGCGUCUGCUGUGAAAAUCCGGGGCUCAACCCCGGACUUGCAGUGGGUACGGGCAGACUAGAGUGUGGUAGGGGAGACUGGAAUUCCUGGUGUAGCGGUGAAAUGCGCAGAUAUCAGGAGGAACACCGAUGGCGAAAGCAGGUCUCUGGGCCACUACUGACGCUGAGAAGCGAAAGCAUGGGGAGCGAACAGG